CAGCGGAGACCGGGUGAGCACCGGCUGGUUCCCCGCGGUGUUCCUGCAGGCUUGGCGGCCGCGGUGGUGCGAUCAGCAAAGGACACCGGGAUGCCGGUUGUGCGUGUCCUCAGGUGUCCCGAACAAGCGCUGUGACUCUGGUUUUGGCAAGGAGACGGCCAAGAAACUGGACUCCAUGGGCUUCACGGUGCUGGCCACCGUAUUGGAGUUGAACAGCCCCGGUGCCAUCGAGCUGCGUACCUGCUGCUCCCCUCGCCUAAGGCUGCUGCAGAUGGACCUGACCAAAUCAGGAGACAUUAGCCGCGUGCUAGAGUUCACCAAGGCCCACACCACCAGCACCGGCCUGUGGGGCCUGGUCAACAACGCAGGCCACAAUGAAGUAGUUGCUGAUGCAGAGCUGUCUCCAGUGGCCACUUUCCGUAGCUGCAUGGAGGUGAACUUCUUUGGCGCGCUCGAACUGACCAAGGGCCUCCUGCCCCUGCUGCGCAGCUCAAGGGGCCGCAUCGUGACUGUGGGCAGUCCAGCAGGGGACAUGCCAUA
rnacentral:sRNA from 1 species